rnacentral:rRNA from 1 species
AUUAACGCUGGGCGGCAGGCCUAACACAUGCAAGUCGAGCGGUAGCACAGAGAGCUUGCUCUCGGGUGACGAGCGGCGGACGGGUGAGUAAUGUCUGGGAAACUGCCUGAUGGAGGGGGAUAACUACUGGAAACGGUAGCUAAUACCGCAUAACGUCGCAAGACCAAAGUGGGGGACCUUCGGGCCUUCAUGCCAUCAGAUGUGCCCAGAGGGAUUAGCUAGUAGGUGGGGUAACGGCUCACCUAGGCGACGAUCCCUAGCUGGUCUGAGAGGAUGACCAGCCACACUGGAACUGAGACACGGUCCAGACUCCUACGGGAGGCAGCAGUGGGGAAUAUUGCACAAUGGGCGCAAGCCUGAUGCAGCCAUGCCGCGUGUGUGAAGAAGGCCUUCGGGUUGUAAAGCACUUUCAGNGGGGAGGAAGGCGNUAAGGUUAAUAACCUUGGCGAUUGACGUUACCCGCAGAAGAAGCACCGGCUAACUCCGUGCCAGCAGCCGCGGUAAUACGGAGGGUGCAAGCGUUAAUCGGAAUUACUGGGCGUAAAGCGCACGCAGGCGGUCUGUCAAGUCGGAUGUGAAAUCCCCGGGCUUAACCUGGGAACUGCAUUCGAAACUGGCAGGCUAGAGUCUUGUAGAGGGGGGUAGAAUUCCAGGUGUAGCGGUGAAAUGCGUAGAGAUCUGGAGGAAUACCGGUGGCGAAGGCGGCCCCCUGGACAAAGACUGACGCUCAGGUGCGAAAAGCGUGGGGAGCAAACAGGAUUAGAUACCCUGUAGUCCACGCCGUAAACGAUGUCGAUUUGGAGGUUGUGCCCUUGAGGCGUGGCUUCCCGGAGCUAACGCUUAAAUCGACCGCCUGGGGAGUACGGCCGCAAGGUUAAAACUCAAAUGAAUUGACGGGGGCCCGCACAAGCGGUGGAGCAUGUGGUUUAAUUCGAUGCAACGCGAAGAACCUUACCUGGUCUUGACAUCCACAGAACUUUCCAGAGAUGGAUUGGUGCCUUCGGGAACUGUGAGACAGGUGCUGCAUGGCUGUCGUCAGCUCGUGUUGUGAAAUGUUGGGUUAAGUCCCGCAACGAGCGCAACCCUUAUCCUUUGUUGCCAGCGGUCCGGCCGGGAACUCAAAGGAGACUGCCAGUGAUAAACUGGAGGAAGGUGGGGAUGACGUCAAGUCAUCAUGGCCCUUACGAAAAGGGCUACACACGUGCUACAAUGGCAUAUACAAAGAGAAGCGACCUCGCGAGAGCAAGCGGACCUCAUAAAGUAUGUCGUAGUCCGGAUUGGAGUCUGCAACUCGACUCCAUGAAGUCGGAAUCGCUAGUAAUCGUAGAUCAGAAUGCUACGGUGAAUACGUUCCCGGGCCUUGUACACACCGCCCGUCACACCCAUGGGAGUGGGUUGCAAAGAAGUAGGUAGCUUAACCUUCGGGAGGGCGCUUACCACUU